rnacentral:rRNA from 1 species
GGGGGGGGGGGGGGGGGGGGGGGGGGGGUGGGGGGGGGAGGGGGCGGGCGGGUCGGGGGGCGCGGGGGGGGGUGGCGCGGGGGAGCCUGCGGGUGGGGGCGGGGUGACUCCGCGGAAGGGGUGCUGGUACCGGGUGAUGAGUUCGGACCGAGGAUGUAUCGCCUUUGGAUGGGCCCGCGUUGGAGUAGCUAGUUGGUAGGGUAAAAGCCUCCCAAGCCGACGAUCCAUAGCUGGUCUGAGAGGAUGAUCAGCCACACUGGGACUGAGACACGGCCCAGACUCCUACGGGAGGCAGCGGUGGGGAAUAUUGGACAAUGGGCGAAAGCCUGAUCCAGCGAUGCCGCGUGAGUGAUGAAGGCCUUAGGGUUGUAAAGCUCUUUUACCCGGGAUGAUAAUGACAGUAGCGGGAGAAUAAGCUCCGGCUAACUCCGUG